rnacentral:rRNA from 1 species
GGACAGAUCGAGGGGCUCGCGGCCUAUCAGCUAGUUGGCGAGGUAACGGCUCACCAAGGCAACGACGGGUAGCUGGUCUGAGAGGAUGGCCAGCCACAUUGGGACUGAGAUACGGCCCAG